UGAUCCUUCUGCCUCCCUCUUAUAAGAGACCCUUGUGAUUACAGUGGACCUACCCAGAUCAUCCAGGAAACACUGCCCAUCUCCAAAUCCUUAACUUAACCAAAUCUAUCAAGUCCCUUUUGUCUGACUUAAAGGCCACAAUUUGGAAUUUGGGGAAAAAAGGAAAGAACUAAAACAUGCUGGAUUAUAACAAUUAUAAGAACUAAAUCUAUGCCAAGAAAAGUACGUUACAAAUUAUGGAAAAUAUUGCCAUAAUUGUGAAAUAGGAAAAUAUUUUCCUCAUUUUUAUGACUGAUUUCACUGCCAUUCAAAAGUAAUAUUUAUUCUGAUAAGUGGUAUGUGUGUGCAAAUGUGUGUGUGUACACGUGACUAUAAAUAAAAACAUUAAGUAUCUUCAUGGUUUAACCUCUAAUUUCCUCCUGCUCAAAUGUAAACUUAACAUAGAAACCUUCAUAGGCCCUUCCUAUCCGAAAUAGGUCCCCGAAUGCUCUCUCUUCAUCUUACUUUCUUAUACUUUUU
ensembl:lncRNA